GACGAACGCUGGCGGCGUGCCUAAUACAUGCAAGUCGAACGAACUCUGGUAUUGAUUGGUGCUUGCAUCAUGAUUUACAUUUGAGUGAGUGGCGAACUGGUGAGUAACACGUGGGAAACCUGCCCAGAAGCGGGGGAUAACACCUGGAAACCGAUGCUAAUACCGCAUAACAACUUGGACCGCAUGGUCCGAGCUUGAAAGAUGGCUUCGGCUAUCACUUUUGGAUGGUCCCGCGGCGUAUUAGCUAGAUGGUGGGGUAACGGCUCACCAUGGCAAUGAUACGUAGCCGACCUGAGAGGGUAAUCGGCCACAUUGGGACUGAGACACGGCCCAAACUCCUACGGGAGGCAGCAGUAGGGAAUCUUCCACAAUGGACGAAAGUCUGAUGGAGCAACGCCGCGUGAGUGAAGAAGGGUUUCGGCUCGUAAAACUCUGUUGUUAAAGAAGAACAUAUCUGAGAGUAACUGUUCAGGUAUUGACGGUAUUUAACCAGAAAGCCACGGCUAACUACGUGCCAGCAGCCGCGGUAAUACGUAGGUGGCAAGCGUUGUCCGGAUUUAUUGGGCGUAAAGCGAGCGCAGGCGGUUUUUUAAGUCUGAUGUGAAAGCCUUCGGCUCAACCGAAGAAGUGCAUCGGAAACUGGGAAACUUGAGUGCAGAAGAGGACAGUGGAACUCCAUGUGUAGCGGUGAAAUGCGUAGAUAUAUGGAAGAACACCAGUGGCGAAGGCGGCUGUCUGGUCUGUAACUGACGCUGAGGCUCGAAAGUAUGGGUAGCAAACAGGAGUAGAUACCCUGUUAGUCCAUACCGUAAACGAUGAAUGCUAAGUGUUGGAGGGUUUCCGCCCUUCAGUGCUGCAGCUAACGCAUUAAGCAUUCCGCCUGGGGAGUACGGCCGCAAGGCUGAAACUCAAAGGAAUUGACGGGGGCCCGCACAAGCGGUGGAGCAUGUGGUUUAAUUCGAAGCUACGCGAAGAACCUUACCAGGUCUUGACAUACUAUGCAAAUCUAAGAGAUUAGACGUUCCCUUCGGGGACAUGGAUACAGGUGGUGCAUGGUUGUCGUCAGCUCGUGUCGUGAGAUGUUGGGUUAAGUCCCGCAACGAGCGCAACCCUUAUUAUCAGUUGCCAGCAUUAAGUUGGGCACUCUGGUGAGACUGCCGGUGACAAACCGGAGGAAGGUGGGGAUGACGUCAAAUCAUCAUGCCCCUUAUGACCUGGGCUACACACGUGCUACAAUGGAUGGUACAACGAGUUGCGAACUCGCGAGAGUAAGCUAAUCUCUUAAAGCCAUUCUCAGUUCGGAUUGUAGGCUGCAACUCGCCUACAUGAAGUCGGAAUCGCUAGUAGUCGCGGAUCAGCAUGCCGCGGUGAAUACGUUCCCGGGCCUUGUACACACCGCCCGUCACACCAUGAGAGUUUGUAACACCCAAAGUCGGUGGGGUAACCUUUUAGGAACCAGCCGCCUAAGGUGGGACAGAUGAUUAGGGUG
rnacentral:rRNA from 1 species